rnacentral:rRNA from 1 species
AGAGUUUGAUCCUGGCUCAGAAUGAACGCUGGCGGCAUGGCUAAAACAUGCAAGUCGAGGGAGAGCCCACUUCGGUGGGGGAAACCGGCGGAAGGGCGAGUAAUGGUAUCGAAUGUACCCCGAGGUGGGGGAUAGUCGUGGGAAACUGCGAGUAAUACCCCAUACGCUCUACGGAGGAAAGCUCCGGCGCCUUGGGAGCAGCGGUACUCCUAUCAGGUUGUUGGUGGGGUAAAGGCCCACCAAGCCGAAGACGGGUAGCGGGUGUGAGAGCAUGACCCGCCGCAUCGGGACUGAGACACUGCCCGGACUCCUACGGGAGGCUGCAGUAACGAAUCUUCCGCAAUGCACGAAAGUGUGACGGAGCAAUGCCGCGUGUGGGAUGAAGCGGUUACGCCGUGUAAACCACUGUCAGGACCUAGGAAGAACUGACCGGGUCCAAAGGAAGGGCCGGCUAAUCUCGUGCCAGCAGCCGCGGUAAUACGAGAGGCCCGAGCGUUAUUCGGAAUCACUGGGCUUAAAGGGUGCGCAGGCGGACCGGCAAGCAUGUUGUGAAAUCCCACGGCUCAACCGUGGAAUCGCUGUGUGAACUGCUGGUCUUGAGGCGGGUAGAGGUUGUCGGAACGUACGGUGGAGCGGUGAAAUGCGUAGAGAUCGUACGGAACGCCGAAGGUGAAGACAGGCAACUGGGCCCGACCUGACGCUCAUGCACGAAAGCGUGGGGAUCAAACAGGAUUAGAUACCCUGGUAGUCCACGCCGUAAACGAUGCACACUAGAUCGAUGCACCUCUGACGGUGUGUCGGUCGGAGAGAAAUUAUUAAGUGUGCCGCCUGGGAGUACGGUCGCAAGGCUAAAACUCAAAGGAAUUGACGG